GACGAACGCUGGCGGCGCGCUUAACACAUGCAAGUCGAGCGAAGCGGCGGACGGGUGAGUAACACGUGAGUAACCUGCCUUAGACAUUGGGAUAGCCUCGGGCAACCGGGAUUAAUACCAAAUGGUCUAAGAUGGACUCGGGUCCCAUUAGCCAGCUGGUGAGGUAACGGCACACCAAGGCGACGAUGGGUAGCCGGGCUGAGAGGGGGAACGGCCACGUUGGAACUGAGAAACGGUCCAAACUCUACGGGAGGCAGCAGUGGGGGAUAUUGCACAAUGGAGGGAACUCUGAUGCAGCGACGCCGCUUGAACGAAGAAGGCUAUCGAGUCGUAAAGUUCUUUUAUAUGGGAAGCGGUACCAUAAGAAAAAGCCCCGGCUAACUACGUGCCAGCAGCCGCGGUAAUAC
rnacentral:rRNA from 1 species